UACGAAGGGUGCAAACGUUGCUCGGAAUUAUUGGGCGUAAAGCGCACGUAGGCGGCUUUGCAAGUCCCAUGUGAAAUCCCACGGCUCAACCGUGGAAGUGCAUGGGAAACUGCAGAGCUUGAGUACUUAAGAGGAUCGCGGAAUUCCCGGUGUAGAGGUGAAAUUCGUAGAUAUCGGGAGGAACACCAGUGGCGAAGGCGGCUUCCUGGACCGACACUGACGCUGAGGCGCGAAAGCUAGGGGAGCAAACGGG
rnacentral:rRNA from 1 species